ensembl:lncRNA
CUUAAUUCAGCUCCUCCCAUUCAUAAGAUUCUGGUUUAGGACAGACGUCUUGAGCCCUCUAGGGAAAGAAAAUAUUGGAGUCUGCAAUGAAUAAAGUCAAGCCAAAAUUUGGGUUGAGUUCUGAGUCAGGGAACCUGAGAGCCAGAACCACAGAGCUUGAAAGAAUGAGGAAAUGGCCUGGCUGUGAUUUGCUGCCUUGACCAACACGGCUUCUUGGAGAACUGCCAAGUACCUAUUUUGGAUCUGCCUGAACAUCCUCACCAGAUCCUGAAAGGUGGGCUUGUAACCAUCCUAGCAGGAAUGAAGACAUCCAAAGAGACACUUGUGUGCUUCAGCAGUCAAACGAUUGGGACAAGGGAACCCAUGAAAUUGGAACCUUUCCAGGAGUCUCAUUCUGGUAUAGGGAAAGGCUGGGUCCAGGCAGAAAACUUGUCUCCCAG